rnacentral:rRNA from 1 species
UACGGGGGGGGCAAGCGUUGUUCGGAAUUACUGGGCGUAAAGGGCUCGUAGGCGGCCAACUAAGUCAUACGUGAAAUCCCUCGGCUUAACCGGGGAACUGCGUCUGAUACUGGAUGGCUAGAGGUUGGGAGAGGGAUGCGGAAUUCCAGGUGUAGCGGUGAAAUGCGUAGAUAUCUGGAGGAACACCGGUGGCGAAGGCGGCAUCCUGGACCAAUCCUGACGCUGAGGAGCGAAAGCCAGGGGAGCAAACGGG